rnacentral:rRNA from 1 species
UACGGGGGGAGCAAGCGUUGUUCGGAUUUACUGGGCGUAAAGGGCGUCUAGGCGGAAUUGUAAGUCAGCUGUGAAAUCCCCCGGCUCAACCGGGGAGUUGCAAUUGAUACUGCAGUUCUUGAGUACAAGAGAGGAAAGCGGAAUUCCAGGUGUAGCGGUGAAAUGCGUAGAUAUCUGGAAGAACACCAGUGGCGAAGGCGGCUUUCUGGCUUGUUACUGACGCUGAAGCGCGAAAGUGUGGGGAGCAAACAGGAUUAGAUACCCUGGUAGUCCACACUGUAAACGAUGGAUGCUAGGUGUCGGGGGUAUCGACCCCCUCGGUGCCGCAGUUAACACAUUAAGCAUCCCGCCUGGGGAGUACGGUCGCAAGGCUGAA